UACGAAGGGGGCUAGCGUUGUUCGGAUUUACUGGGCGUAAAGCGCACGUAGGCGGAUCGUUAAGUCGGGGGUGAAAUCCUGGGGCUCAACCCCAGAACUGCCUUCGAUACUGGCGAUCUCGAGUCCGGAAGAGGUGAGUGGAACUCCUAGUGUAGAGGUGGAAUUCGUAGAUAUUCGCAAGAACACCAGUGGCGAAGGCGGCUCACUGGCCCGGUACUGACGCUGAGGCACGAAAGCGUGGGGAGCAAACAGG
rnacentral:rRNA from 1 species